GUUGCUUUUCACUCAUAAGUGGUAAUGAUUUUGUUUUGAUGGGUAAGAAGGAAAAUAAUUUGGGAUAGAUUAAAAGAGGGACGAAUGAUAUCAGAGGGACAUUCAAACUCAGACAUGAUAUAUAUCAAGGUAAUCUGAUUGAAUAGAACAUUCGUUUAAUAUGAAAAGAGGAUCAUAUUCUGUCAUGUAUGAUGUGUAUUGGGUAUGUGUAAUUUUGCGUUUUUCGUUAUGAGUUUUCAAUUGUCUGUAAAUUGUCAAUUUUCUACUGUUUAUAUUUCAACAUAUUUUCAGAGUGAAAAAUAAACGAAAGUUGUCCUACUCCCCAAAUAAAGUAUUGUAAAGUUCAGUAGUCUGUAAAUUACCUUUUUUUCUACUGCAUACGUUGGAACAUAUUUUUAGUGUAA
rnacentral:lncRNA from 1 species